CACUCCUGCGGGAGGCAGCAGUGGGGAAUAUUGGACAAUGGGCGCAAGCCUGAUCCAGCCAUGCCGCGUGAGUGAUGAAGGCCCUAGGGUUGUAAAGCUCUUUCACCGGUGAAGAUAAUGACGGUAACCGGAGAAGAAGCCCCGGCUAACUUCGUGCCAGCAGCCGCGGUAAUACGAAGGGGGCUAGCGUUGUUCGGAUUUACUGGGCGUAAAGCGCACGUAGGCGGACUAUUAAGUCAGGGGUGAAAUCCCGGGGCUCAACCCCGGAACUGCCUUUGAUACUGGUAGUCUUGAGUUCGAGAGAGGUGAGUGGAAUUCCGAGUGUAGAGGUGAAAUUCGUAGAUAUUCGGAGGAACACCAGUGGCGAAGGCGGCUCACUGGCUCGAUACUGACGCUGAGGUGCGAAAGCGUGGGGAGCAAACAGGAUUAGAAACCCGGGUAGUCC
rnacentral:rRNA from 1 species